rnacentral:lncRNA from 1 species
UUAGGGAGCUACCAUUUGAUUUUUAUGGGGGGGCUAGGAUGAAAUUUGAAAAAAAUAGGCAGGAAGGAGUUUUGAGUAAAAAAAAAGGCAGGAUGAGACACUUUGCAAAAAAAAAAAGUCAGGAUGACAAUUUAGGUAAAAAAAAGUCAGGAUAAACUAAUAAAAAAAAAGGCAGGACCGAAUAGAGUGAAAAAAAAAGGCAGGACAGAGAUUACAACUAAAAAAAAAUGCAGGACAAAAUUUU